rnacentral:rRNA from 1 species
GACGAACGCUGGCGGCGUGCCUAAUACAUGCAAGUAGAACGCUGAAGGAGGAGCUUGCUUCUCUGGAUGAGUUGCGAACGGGUGAGUAACGCGUAGGUAACCUGCCUGGUAGCGGGGGAUAACUAUUGGAAACGAUAGCUAAUACCGCAUAAUAUUGACUAUUGCAUGAUAGUCAGUUGAAAGGUGCAACUGCACCACUACCAGAUGGACCUGCGUUGUAUUAGCUAGUUGGUGGGGUAACGGCUCACCAAGGCGACGAUACAUGGCCGACCUGAGAGGGUGAUCGGCCACACUGGGACUGAGACACGGCCCAGACUCCUACGGGAGGCAGCAGUAGGGAAUCUUCGGCAAUGGACGGAAGUCUGACCGAGCAACGCCGCGUGAGUGAAGAAGGUUUUCGGAUCGUAAAGCUCUGUUGUAAGAGAAGAACGAGUGUGAGAGUGGAAAGCUCACACUGUGACGGUAUCUUACCAGAAAGGGACGGCUAACUACGUG